CUACGGGUCGCACCAGUGAGGAAUAUUGCACAAUGGGGGGAACCCUGAUGCAGCAACGCCGCGUGGAGGAUGACGCAUUUCGGUGUGUAAACUCCUUUUAUAUGUCAAGAAAAUGACGGUAGCAUAUGAAUAAGCACCGGCUAACUCCGCGCCAGCAGCCGCGGUAAUACGGAGGGUGCAAGCGUUACUCGGAAUCACUGGGCGUAAAGGACGCGUAGGCGGGUUGGAAAGUCAGGUGUGAAAUCCUACAGCUUAACUGUAGAACUGCACUUGAAACUUCUAAUCUAGAGUAUGGGAGGGGGAGAUGGAAUUAGUGGUGUAGGGGUAAAAUCCGUAGAUAUCACUAGGAAUACCUAAAGCGAAGGCGAUCUGCUGGAACAUUACUGACGCUAAGGCGUGAAAGCGUGGGGAGCAAACAGGAUUAGAUACCCCAGUAGUC
rnacentral:rRNA from 1 species